AAUUAAAUGGCUGAAUUUAGGCGAUAAAUUGUAAAUUUAUUUAUGAAAUAAAAAAAUUUCUUUAAUUA
rnacentral:tRNA from 1 species